UGUCAGACCUAUAUCUUCAACGUUGUGUGUCAGUGUCACGUUCCCACCUCUCCAUUAUUUGUCUCUUCAUUUUCUUUUCGUGUUCUUCUUUCAGAGAAUGAGGACCGUAUUCUUCUUAUUCCAUGGUAAUCAGACAACACAUCAGACUCCUACCAAAUAAUCUCCCACCAUUUACAGCCGUCGAUGAUCUUUUUGUUCCAAAAUUGAAGAGGGUUACGCAUAAGUAACCUAUUCCGUUAAUUGUUCUCGCUUCUUAUUAUUUCUAUUUUUUUGGGGGAAUAAUUUCCAAUUGUGGCUGAUUCAUUGUCAUAGAUGGAAGAUGUGUGUAGUGUGCUUCCCUGAAUACAACUUCGCCGCCGGAAGAACCCUAUCAACGAGAAAAUUUUAUGUGGGGAAAUUUUUGGAUCUCUAAACUUUUUGGAUGAGGAAUGCACGGUUAUGGACACACUUAUGUUCUCCCUAGUGCUGCAAGGGAGCCACAAUGUUGUAUCAAGAUGUGGCUGCUGGUUAGCCGAAACUGGAUGGCCCUAUAUUACGUAUAGUGUCCUAUGGGUCACCCCUCUAUGUGUUAGAUUUCCUUUGUUGAACCAUUUAUGUUGUAACCCAUCUUUGUAUUAUAUUGUUAUGUCUUAAGCACUUAGCAACUAUAAAUUUCUUUGUCGUAUGCAUGUCAUCGCUAUCUAUAACUUCUAUUAA